GAUGAACGCUGACAGAAUGCUUAACACAUGCAAGUCAACUUGAAUUUGGGUUUUUAACUUAGGUUUGGGUGGCGGACGGGUGAGUAACGCGUAAAGAACUUGCCUCACAGUUAGGGACAACAUUUGGAAACGAAUGCUAAUACCUAAUAUUAUGAUAAUAGGGCAUCCUAUGAUUAUGAAAGCUAUAAGCGCUGUGAGAGAGCUUUGCGUCCCAUUAGCUAGUUGGAGAGGUAACGGCUCACCAAGGCGAUGAUGGGUAGCCGGCCUGAGAGGGUGAUCGGCCACAAGGGGACUGAGACACGGCCCUUACUCCUACGGGAGGCAGCAGUGGGGAAUAUUGGACAAUGGACCAAGAGUCUGAUCCAGCAAUUCUGUGUGCACGAUGAAGUUUUUCGGAAUGUAAAGUGCUUUCAGUUGGGAAGAAAGAAAUGACGGUACCAACAGAAGAAGUGACGGCUAAAUACGUGCCAGCAGCCGCGGUAAUACGUAUGUCACGAGCGUUAUCCGGAUUUAUUGGGCGUAAAGCGCGUCUAGGUGGUUAUGUAAGUCUGAUGUGAAAAUGCAGGGCUCAACUCUGUAUUGCGUUGGAAACUGUAUAACUAGAGUACUGGAGAGGUAAGCGGAACUACAAGUGUAGAGGUGAAAUUCGUAGAUAUUUGUAGGAAUGCCGAUGGGGAAGCCAGCUUACUGGACAGAUACUGACGCUGAAGCGCGAAAGCGUGGGUAGUAAACAGG
rnacentral:rRNA from 1 species